rnacentral:tRNA from 1 species
GGAAGAAUGGCCUUGCAGUUAAGGCAGGGGACUGUGGAGAUCUGGGUUCAAUUCCCAGCUCUGCCA